CGUGUCCGCGCGGAAAAACGGGCGAAUCGGUAAAAUGGAGAGAGAAAGGAAAUGUGUGAAUAGGUAAAAUGCCGCUCAUGUCGCGCAGGUGUGGAAUAGAACGGGUUUGCGUUGGAGGGGACUUUAAAUAUCAUCUCCAGCCUGGCCUUGGACGCUUCCAGGGAUCCAGGGGCAGCCACAGCUUCUCUGGGAAAUGUGUCCCUGUGCCUCACCGUCAUCACACCCUGCUUUUCCAAGGAACUGGGUCUUUUGUCUAUCUUGUGCAUCUGAACAUGGCCCUGAAUAAAAGCCUCGCUGAGAUUCAUCCCCAGAAGCAUCUAGAAGGCAGCAGAAAAAUAAAGAGUCCAGUUUGUGACA